rnacentral:rRNA from 1 species
GGUUAAGCGACUAAGCGUACACGGUGGAUGCCCCGGCAGUCAGAGGCGAUGAAGGACGUGCUAAUCUGCGAUAAGCGUCGGUGAGGUGAUAUGAACCGUUAUAACCGGCGAUUUCCGAAUGGGGAAACCCAGUGUGUUUCGACACACUAUCAUUAACUGAAUCCAUAGGUUAAUGAGGCGAACCGGGGAACUGAAACAUCUAAGUACCCCGAGGAAAAGAAAUCAACCGAGAUUCCCCAGUAGCGGCGAGCGAACGGGGAGGAGCCCAGAGCCUGAAUCAGUGUGUGUGUUAGUGGAAGCGUCUGGAAAGGCGCGCGAUACAGGGUGACAGCCCCGUACACAAAAAUGCACAUGCUGUGAGCUCGAUGAGUAGGGCGGGACACGUGGUAUCCUGUCUGAAUAUGGGGGACCAUCCUCCAAGGCUAAAUACUCCUGACUGACCGAUAGUGAACCAGUACCGUGAGGGAAAGGCGAAAAGAACCCCGGCGAGGGGAGUGAAAAAGAACCUGAAACCGUGUACGUACAAGCAGUGGGAGCCUCUUAAUGGGGUGACUGCGUACCUUUUGUAUAAUGGGUCAGCGACUUAUAUUCUGUAGCAAGGUUAACCGAAUAGGGGAGCCGAAGGGAAACCGAGUCUUAACUGGGCGUUAAGUUGCAGGGUAUAGACCCGAAACCCGGUGAUCUAGCCAUGGGCAGGUUGAAGGUUGGGUAACACUAACUGGAGGACCGAACCGACUAAUGUUGAAAAAUUAGCGGAUGACUUGUGGCUGGGGGUGAAAGGCCAAUCAAACCGGGAGAUAGCUGGUUCUCCCCGAAAGCUAUUUAGGUAGCGCCUCGUGAAUUCAUCUCCGGGGUAGAGCACUGUUUCGGCAAGGGGGUCAUCCCGACUUACCAACCCGAUGCAAACUGCGAAUACCGGAGAAUGUUAUCACGGGAGACACACGGCGGGUGCUAACGUCCGUCGUGAAGAGGGAAACAACCCAGACCGCCAGCUAAGGUCCCAAAGUCAUGGUUAAGUGGGAAACGAUGUGGGAAGGCCCAGACAGCCGGGAUGUUGGCUUAGAAGCAGCCAUCAUUUAAAGAAAGCGUAAUAGCUCACUGGUCGAGUCGGCCUGCGCGGAAGAUGUAACGGGGCUAAACCAUGCACCGAAGCUGCGGCAGCGACACUAUGUGUUGUUGGGUAGGGGAGCGUUCUGUAAGCCUGUGAAGGUGUGCUGUGAGGCAUGCUGGAGGUAUCAGAAGUGCGAAUGCUGACAUAAGUAACGAUAAAGCGGGUGAAAAGCCCGCUCGCCGGAAGACCAAGGGUUCCUGUCCAACGUUAAUCGGGGCAGGGUGAGUCGACCCCUAAGGCGAGGCCGAAAGGCGUAGUCGAUGGGAAACAGGUUAAUAUUCCUGUACUUGGUGUUACUGCGAAGGGGGACGGAGAAGGCUAUGUUGGCCGGGCGACGGUUGUCCCGGUUUAAGCGUGUAGGCUGGUUUUCCGGGCAAAUCCGGAAAACCAAGGCUGAGGCGUGAUGACGAGGCACUACGGUGCUGAAGCGACAAAUGCCCUGCUUCCGGGAAAAGCCUCUAAGCAUCAGGUAACAUCAAAUCGUACCCCAAACCGACACAGGUGGUCAGGUAGAGAAUACCAAGGCGCUUGAGAGAACUCGGGUGAAGGAACUAGGCAAAAUGGUGCCGUAACUUCGGGAGAAGGCACGCUGAUAUGUAGGUGAAGCGACUUGCUCGUGGAGCUGAAAUCAGUCGAAGAUACCAGCUGGCUGCAACUGUUUAUUAAAAACACAGCACUGUGCAAACACGAAAGUGGACGUAUACGGUGUGACGCCUGCCCGGUGCCGGAAGGUUAAUUGAUGGGGUUAGCGGUAACGCGAAGCUCUUGAUCGAAGCCCCGGUAAACGGCGGCCGUAACUAUAACGGUCCUAAGGUAGCGAAAUUCCUUGUCGGGUAAGUUCCGACCUGCACGAAUGGCGUAAUGAUGGCCGGGCUGUCUCCACCCGAGACUCAGUGAAAUUGAACUCGCUGUGAAGAUGCAGUGUACCCGCGGCAAGACGGAAAGACCCCGUGAACCUUUACUAUAGCUUGACACUGAACAUUGAGCCUUGAUGUGUAGGAUAGGUGGGAGGCUUUGAAGUGUGGACGCCAGUCUGCAUGGAGCCGACCUUGAAAUACCACCCUUUAAUGUUUGAUGUUCUAACGUUGGCCCGUAAUCCGGGUUGCGGACAGUGUCUGGUGGGUAGUUUGACUGGGGCGGUCUCCUCCUAAAGAGUAACGGAGGAGCACGAAGGUUGGCUAAUCUCGGUCGGACAUCAGGAGGUUAGUGCAAUGGCAUAAGCCAGCUUGACUGCGAGCGUGACGGCGCGAGCAGGUGCGAAAGCAGGUCAUAGUGAUCCGGUGGUUCUGAAUGGAAGGGCCAUCGCUCAACGGAUAAAAGGUACUCCGGGGAUAACAGGCUGAUACCGCCCAAGAGUUCAUAUCGACGGCGGUGUUUGGCACCUCGAUGUCGGCUCAUCACAUCCUCGGGGCUGAAGUAGGUCCCAAGGGUAUGGCUGUUCGCCAUUUAAAGUGGUACGCGAGCUGGGUUUAGAACGUCGUGAGACAGUUCGGUCCCUAUCUGCCGUGGGCGCUGGAGAACUGAGGGGGCUGCUCCUAGUACGAGAGGACCGGAGUGGACGCAUCACUGGUGUUCGGGUUGUCAUGCCAAUGGCACUGCCCGGUAGCUAAAUGCGGAAGAGAUAAGUGCUGAAAGCAUCUAAGCACGAAACUUGCCCCGAGAUGAGUUCUCCCUGAGACUUAGAGUCUCCUGAAGGAACGUUGAAGACGACGACGUUGAUAGGCCGGGUGUGUAAGCGCAGCGAUGCGUUGAGCUAACCGGUACUAAUGAACCGUGAGGCUUAACCUU